ACGAGCUACACUUUAUUUCCGGAAUCCUUCGUAUUCUGUUUUCCCCGUGUCAAUUUUUUGAUAGUCAUGGCUUUUGAUCAGUGCAUCAUCGUGCUAAACAUGGGAAUUUGCGGCUUCCACACGAGUAUGAAAUGGUUAAGGAUUCUUUUAGACUCUGAUCGGAGGAUGAGACGGGAGUACUGUUUUUUACUCGAUAUGAUUCUCACAGAGAAUAUGAUGAGUAGCCUUGAAUGCUAGCUUCCACUCGAAUGUGAGGUUUCUAGAGGAAGGACCACAACCAGGGAAGUGCUGACCACUGUCUGUAGACGAAUAACUAUAUGAAGAUAAGAUUUCAGCCGCACCCUCUUAUUUUGUCGAAAGGUUGAGUUGCUUAAACUUGGCGAGUUCCAUGAUAGCAAGAAUAGGAGAAAUACUUUUGAGUUCUUCUCUUAACUAAUAAAUCAGAGCAGUUAAACCUGCUGGGCAUCAGAAUAAUUAAGGGGCAGCUUUUCCAGAGGAACUAUUUCUUCAAAAAGAUAUUCCCACUACAAGGGGAAAAACUGCUAGUUUUACUAUCAGUUUCAGAAAACUUAGCCUCAGUGCUGUUAUCUUGAAUUCCAUCUUAUGCAUGUCAUCUUCCUAAAUAAUCAAUGUAAAAGAGUUGAUGACCGAAGUCAGACCCAGUACUCCAUUGUUUUCCCAGCAUCGUUGAACUUAAGCUAAUAAAUUGAAGUUGCUGAGAAGUAUUAUUGAUAAUAAUAAGCAUGAUGAAUGGGUAAAUAAUGACAGUUCAAUUCAUAAACAUUUAUUGUGGAAAGAAAAACUUAGAAACUGAGAAGAAGAAGUAUUAGUCAUUUCUGUAGAAGUUGAAACAAUGCAGCAUUAUGAGAUUGAAUGGCAGGGCAAUUCUCCUUUGGCAAAGAAAAAGUAUGCACGUGCAUGUCCUCCCUGCCAAAGGAGAAUCACACUGUUAUUCUUUUUCACACAUAUUUAAUUUUCUUCCUCAGAUCACGCUCCCUGCGAGUUCUUGUGUUGAAUACCACAGGUCAUAUGCCCAUAUAUAUACCACCUGGUCUCGCAUUUCCAUUGGAUAUGCUGGAGAAGGAACUGGCAUAUGCUUGGAAGUAUUCCUCUAGGGUUUUUCCCUUUAUUCAAGUUUUCUUUCGCUUUCUUUCCAGGAACAAUAAUGCUAAUGCAAUCUCGGACUUCAUUGAUCCUGGCGCGGCAAAUUAUUUUAUUUCAACCUGCUGAUCUUUUACAUGGAAGAAUCAAUAUAUUCGUAACCUCCUUGAUAAUGGAUUUGGAAAAUUAUAUUCACACUCAGGUUCUUGGAGAUAUUUACAAGUCAGUCUUGCAUGUCAAUUACCAUUCAUCUAAGGAGAACGUACGUAUACCACUGUUACCAACCAUUGAAUCACAAGGCAAUGGCAUUUUAUCUCGGCCAACAAUUAAUCACUAGACCGAAGGGUUUAAAUGGAUGCGAACAAAGCUAUUCAAGUCGUUUUUGAAAUGUUUUUUGGCAAUUUAGUGCUCAAAAUAAAAAUGGGUAUUAGAAGGAUCUAGGUAGCUGAUAAAUGUUUGUUUGGAUUUAGUAAAAACAGUUUUUAUUAUCUUAGUAUCUAUUUCCAAUUUCA